CUUUGACCAUGGUAUACAUGCCCAAACUCAUCUGAUAUUGGUAGUGAAGCAUAGCUGGUCCUUGUUAGUACUUGGAUGGGACAAAGAAGUAACCAUGCUGGGGAAGCAAAUUAAGAGAGGGGAAAGACAAAGA
rnacentral:rRNA from 1 species